UACGGAGGGGGCUAGCGUUGUUCGGAAUUACUGGGCGUAAAGCGCACGUAGGCGGCUUUGUAAGUUAGAGGUGAAAGCCCGGGGCUCAACUCCGGAAUUGCCUUUAAGACUGCAUCGCUUGAAUUGUGGAGAGGUAAGUGGAAUUCCGAGUGUAGAGGUGAAAUUCGUAGAUAUUCGGAAGAACACCAGUGGCGAAGGCGACUUACUGGACACAUAUCGACGCUGAGGUGCGAAAGCGUGGGGAGCAAACGGG
rnacentral:rRNA from 1 species